rnacentral:rRNA from 1 species
GAUGAACGCUGGCGGCGUGCCUAAUACAUGCAAGUCGAGCGAACAGACGAGGAGCUUGCUCCUCUGACGUUAGCGGCGGACGGGUGAGUAACACGUGGAUAACCUACCUAUAAGACUGGGAUAACUUCGGGAAACCGGAGCUAAUACCGGAUAAUAUAUUGAACCGCAUGGUUCAAUAGUGAAAGACGGUUUUGCUGUCACUUAUAGAUGGAUCCGCGCCGCAUUAGCUAGUUGGUAAGGUAACGGCUUACCAAGGCAACGAUGCGUAGCCGACCUGAGAGGGUGAUCGGCCACACUAGAACUGAAACACGGUCCAGACUCCUACGGGAGGCAGCAGUAGGGAAUCUUCCGCAAUGGGCGAAAGCUUGACGGAGCAACGCCGCGUGAGUGAUGAAGGUCUUCGGAUCGUAAGACUCUGUUAUUAGGGAAGAACAAAUGUGUAAGUAACUAUGCACGUCUUGACGGUACCUAAUCAGAAAGCCACGGCUAACUACGUG